rnacentral:rRNA from 1 species
AUGGGGAAGCACAUCAAGCACAAUGCCCAACUUUUCAUCUUACUUUCCAUGGUUCUUCUAAGUUGCCUGGUUUCUUCACCCGUCCAAGGACAAAGCAUUGACGACAAGGGGAGUAGCACAACGGCUAUACGGCCUAAUGAUGACCCCGACUGUGUGAGAGAGACGAAGUUGAAGUGGCCACGGACACGACAGUACUGCUGCAACUAUUUUGCAUAUACUGGUCCAUGCUACGAUGACUAUAUUUCUCGGGAAGCGGCUUGCUCGUAUCAUGUCCCAUGCAGGCCGCAAAAUAUUUUAACAGCCCGUGGCAACCCACGUGCAUUUCUACUAAUUGUGCUUAAGGGCAUGUACAGCGCAGUUGACUCAGCUGUCCUGACGCCCAUCCUCCCGUUGCGAGUACUAGGGCGGGCCACCGGCUUGCCGAAUAAAGUGUUCAAGAGCUCUGCAGCCGCAAACGAAGGCGAGGCGCUGCUGCUGGAAGGAAGCUAUCCACCCAAUGUCUCUUCCGUCGACUUCGCCCGAAAGCAAGACGUCGGCCGUCAGAAUGUGUCCACCUUCGCCGGUAUUCCGCCCACUGUCGCCUCCGCCGACUUCGCCGCAAAACAAGAUGACGCCCGACAAAAUAUGUCCAAUGUUGUCUCCGCCUACUUUGCCAGAAAACAAGACAACGUCCGACAAAAUAUGUCCAAUGUUGUCCCCGAACAGAACAAGCCAUUUGUUCCGUCGAUCACAUCAUUCCCAUAUCAACCCAACCCAACCUCCAUAAUCUCCGGACGCCUGGCUAACUGCAAUACGAUCCAGGUCCAGGAGAGGAGCAGGGGGAGCUGCGAUGGUGAAGGACACCGCGUACUAGGACACCUUGGGGGUCAGCACCGACGCCUCGCCGCCGAGAUCAAGAAGGCGUAUUACCUCAAGGCCAAGUUGGUUCACUUGGACAAGAAUCCCAGGAACCCCGAUGCCGCGCGAAAGUGUUCGGUGGAUUGCAACAGCGGCCUUGGCAAGCAGGGUGACAUCACUGGAGAAUAUGGAAGGAGCAUGACUCGAGGAUCGAGGAUCAUCGAUCAGGUCGCCAAUACUGCAGACAGGGUCCACGGCCUGGUUAGGGAGGACACCAGCAUGUGGAGGGCUGCAGGAUGCAUCUGUGACUACAUGUUGGAAUUAAACAUGACAACACAUGUCCGUGUCCGGCAAUACAUGCAUGUACGUGUUCGUGUUACUAGUUUUCUGUCCUUUACCGAAUAG